UACGUAGGGUGCAAGCGUUGUCCGGAAUUAUUGGGCGUAAAGAGCUCGUAGGCGGUUUGUCGCGUCGAAUGUGAAAUCCCGGGGCUCAACCCCGGGUCUGCAUUCGAUACGGGCAGACUAGAGUUCGGUAGGGGAGUCUGGAAUUCCUGGUGUAGCGGUGGAAUGCGCAGAGAUCAGGAGGAACACCGAUGGCGAAGGCAGCUCGCUGGGACGGUACUGACGCUGAGGCGCGAAAGCGUGGGGAGCGAACAGG
rnacentral:rRNA from 1 species